GUGGGAAUUGCCCCUGGUGGGAUAAAUAAAGCUCAAUUGAAUUCAAAUUGUAUUUGAGAUAAGAGAGAAGAAUAACAAAUAAUGAAAGAGCAGCAGUAAAUAACAAUAGUGGGGCUUUAUACAGGGAGUACCAGUACAGAGUCAAUGUGGAGGCUAUAUACAGGGUAUUACGGUACAGAGUCAAUGUGGAGGCUAUAUACAGGGGGUACCGGUACAGAGUCAAUGUGGAGGCUAUAUACAGGGGAGUACCGGUACAGAGUCAAUGUGGAGGCUAUAUACAGGGGAGGUACCAGUACAGAGUCAAUGUGGAGGCUAUAUACAGGG
ensembl:lncRNA